UGUGAAAACGCCCUUAAAUCCCCCCUAGGGAUAAGGAGCUGGUUUUCAGGCACGAAAAUCCGCCCAAAACACCUAGCUAUGCCACACCCACAAGGGAAUUCAAGCAGUGAUUAACAUUGAACAUAAGCGCCAGCUUGAUUCAGUUAAAGUAAAAAGAGCCGGCAAAUCUGGUGCCAGCCGCCGGCGGUUACCCCAUGUGGCUCAAAUUGAUACCUAUCGGCGUAAAGCGUGAUUAAAGCUCCUAUUUUAUUGAAGUUAAAUUAAAACUAACCCGUGACACGCUUGUUUUACAGAAAUCCAUAAACGAAAGUUACUUCAAUUUAAACAACUUGAAUACACGACAGUCGAGACACAAACUGGGAUUAGAUACCCCACUAUGCCCGACCGUAAACUUUAAAUUACAUCCCCAUCGCCAGAGAACUACGAGCAAAGCUUAAAACUCAAAGGACUUGACGGUACCCCAUAUCCCCCUAGAGGAGCCUGUCCUAUAAUCGAUAAUCCCCGUUCAACCUCACCACUUCUAGCUUAUCAGCCUGUAUACCUCCGUCGUCAGCUUACCACGUGAGCGAAACUCAGUGAGCCUAAUGUCCAUACGUCCAUACGUCAGGUCAAGGUGCAGU
rnacentral:rRNA from 1 species